rnacentral:lncRNA from 1 species
AAAAGAAAAAGCAGAAUGGAAUCUCUGUUUAUUCUCAACGUAUCAGUUGUGCCUCUCUUCAAUUUGAAACUCUCACUAUUGGCUAUAUUUGGGGGUGCCCUAUUUCCCAUCUCAUAACUUAUUUCAAGAAUCACAGCAUAAUAAUGUGUGAGCUUGGGAUUCAGUUUUUGAAACAAAACACUGAGCCUUCAAUGACCUUCCUGUACAUGUAAAAGCACACCUGUCUGCAUGGCAGCAGUUGGACCUCACAAUGUGGAUUGUGCCUUCACCCUGGAAUGUCUAUGAUGCCCUAUCGACCAUGGUGAUUG